CCACUCCUCAUCUGUUUUGGGUAAAACAAUGUUUUCGUCGAUUAAUACAGUAUAGUUUUCGCUAAAAUCGACCAACAAACAAACAUUUUUCUACCCAGAACUACGUAAGCCUUGAUUUCUCUUUCGAGAUACGUAGGAGCAGGAUUUUUAAAUCUUGUCAGGCCCACCAAUAAAAAACUUAGGUUUAGUUCUUCGUCAAAAA
rnacentral:lncRNA from 1 species